GUGGUUUUGGGCAGGUUUGGGGGGGUUUUGGGGGGGAUUUUGGGGGUUUUUUGGGAAGGAUUUUGGGGAUGUUUUGGGAAGGAUUUUAGGAAGGAUUCUGGAGGGUUUUGGGGCAGGAUUUUAGGAAGGAUUUUGGGGGUGUUUGGGCAGGAUUUUUGGAGUGUUUUUGGGCAGGAUUUUGGGAUAUUUUGGACAGGAUUUUGAGGGUGUUUUGGGAAGCAUUUUGUAGUGGUUUUGGGCAGGAUUUUGGGGUGUUUCAGACAGAAUUUUGCGAUGUUUUGGGCAGGGUUUUGGGGGUGUUUUGGGUGGGAUUUUGGGCAGAAUUCCGGGGGUGUAUUUG
rnacentral:lncRNA from 1 species